rnacentral:rRNA from 1 species
GAUGAACGCUGGCGGCGUGCCUAAUACAUGCAAGUCGAGCGAACAGAUGAGGAGCUUGCUCCUCUGACGUUAGCGGCGGACGGGUGAGUAACACGUGGAUAACCUACCUAUAAGACUGGGAUAACUUCGGGAAACCGGAUCUAAUACCGGAUAAUAUAUUGAACCGCAUGGUUCAAUAGUGAAAGACGGUUUUGCUGUCACUUAUAGAUGGAUCCGCGCCGCAUUAGCUAGUUGGUAAGGUAACGGCUUACCAAGGCAACGAUGCGUAGCCGACCUGAGAGGGUGAUCGGCCACACUGGAACUGAGACACGGUCCAGACUCCUACGGGAGGCAGCAGUAGGGAAUCUUCCGCAAUGGGCGAAAGCCUGACGGAGCAACGCCGCGUGAGUGAUGAAGGUCUUCGGAUCGUAAAACUCUGUUAUUAGGGAAGAACAAAUGUGUAAGUAACUAUGCACGUCUUGACGGUACCUGAUCAGAAAGCCACGGCUAACUACGUG